AUCAGCAAAGAAUGCAUCUUCAUCUGCAGCAUAUUUCUCGACUAGAGGGCGGAAGACUGGAUCUUCUAAGAGUGCUUUGUCUGAUGGUAGCUGGAGGAGACCUUCUUUCUCUCCACUCAAAAGCUCCUUGAAAUAGGAAUUGUCAAAUAUGAGAGGGUUGUUGGUCCAUGCUCCCUCAAAUCCUGAGCGUUCUUUGUGGCACCUUCCCAGAGUGUGACCACCAGAUAAAGCAACAAUGUCUUUAUCACUCAAUCCCAUGUGUCCAAAAACCUCCCUCAGAUGAUCUGAGCCUUUGGUGGCGUCAGGCAAGCGGCCUUCUGGAGGUGGUUCUGUCUUGUCCUGUCUCCCAGGAUGAAAAGGAAUAUCGGGGCCUCCCGUAACUUCAACAGCAACUACUCCAGCCAACUGAUAAAAGUCAGCGUAGGAUAGGAUUGGGAACUGUUCCUUGAUCGGCUCCAAAAGUCGAACAGCAAUAUCAAGACCAUUGUUAGCUCCAUGUUUAAGUUCAUUCGGGUGCCUGAUUGUUCCAAAUGGACCACCAGUUUUGGUUUUGACAUCAUAUGUCCCUGCUGAAUGCCAUGCUAAUCUCAGCAUAAUCGGAGCACAAUUCUUCUCGGCGAUAAGUCCUCUGAGCUUCCUCUUACAUUUUUCAACUGCUUUUUGAUACUCUUCGCUCACCGUCGGAUAACACUUCACCAUUUCUUCUCCGAUCAAACGUCGAUUUCCAAAUCUUUUAAAGCAAAAUAUAUUAG
rnacentral:misc_RNA from 1 species